ACUUUGUAACACCGGUUCCCGUUCGACCACCUAUGUUAAGCAACGUUGACCCUGUUCAGUACCUAAAUGGGUGACCGCUUGGGGAAUACCAGGUGCUGUAAG